rnacentral:rRNA from 1 species
AGCUCCAAUAGCGUAUAUUUAAGUUGUUGCAGUUAAAAAGCUCGUAGUUGGAUUUCGGUUGCGAACGACCGGUCCGCCGUUUGGUGUGCACUGGUUGGUUGCAGCUUCCUGUAGAGGACACGCUCUGGGGUUAACGCUUCGGACGUGGAGUCUACGUGGUUACUUUGAAAAAAUUAGAGUGUUCAAAGCGGGCUUACGCUUGAAUAUUUCAGCAUGGAAUAACACUAUAGGACUCCUGUCCUAUUUCGUUGGUCUCGGGACGGGAGUAAUGAUUAAGAGGAACAGUUGGGGGCAUUCGUAUUUCAUUGUCAGAGGUGAAAUUCUUGGAUUUAUGAAAGACGAACUUCUGCGAAAGCAUUUGCCAAGGAUGUUUUCA